rnacentral:rRNA from 1 species
UGGGGAAUAUUGCACAAUGGGCGAAAGCCUGAUGCAGCAACGCCGCGUGCGGGAUGACGGCCUUCGGGUUGUAAACCGCUUUCAGCAGGGACGAAGGUUUUCUGACGGUACCUGCAGAAGAAGCACCGGCUAACUACGUGCCAGCAGCCGCGGUGAUACGUAGGGUGCGAGCGUUGUCCGGAAUUAUUGGGCGUAAAGAGCUUGUAGGCGGUCCGUUGCGUCGGAAGUGAAAACUCAGGGCUUAACCCUGAGCCUGCUUUCGAUACGGGCGGACUUGAGGGAUGUAGGGGAGAACGGAAUUCCUGGUGGAGCGGUGGAAUGCGCAGAUAUCAGGAGGAACACCAGUGGCGAAGGCGGUUCUCUGGACAUUUCCUGACGCUGAGAAGCGAAAGCGUGGGGAGCAAACAGGCUUAGAUACCCUGGUAGUCCACGCCGUAAACGGUGGGCACUAGGUGUGGGACCCAUUCCACGGGUUCCGUGCCGUAGCUAACGCAUUAAGUGCCCCGCCU